GGGCAGCAGCUUUAUAGCGAUAUAGAGGCUCGCGACCGGCAAACGGGUGUAGAACCACGUACACACCGUCCUAGAAUAGGGGGAUAGCCCAUAGAAAUGUGGAUUAAUACCACGUAAUAGAGCGGUGUGGCAUCACAGUGUUAUUAUAGUUUCGACGAUUCGAGAUGGGUGUCCUGAUGAUUAUGUAGUGGGCGGGGUAAAGCCCCACCAAGCCUUCGAUCAGUAGCUGAUGUGAGAUCAUGAUCAGCCACACGGGCACUGAGACACGGGUCCGACUCGUACGAGCGGCAGCAGUAAGGAAUAUUGGUCAAUGGAUGCAAGUGUGAACCAGCCAUGCCGCGUGAAGGAUGAAGGUCCUGUGGAUUUAAACUUUUUUUAUAGGGGGCGAAAAAAGGUUUUUGUAAAUCCCUUGACAGUACCCUACGAAUAAGCACCGGCUAACUCCGUGCCAGCAGCCGCGGUAAUACGGAGGGUGCAAGCGUUAUCCGGAUUCACUGGGUUUAAAGGGUGCGUAGGCGGGUAGGUAAGUCAGAGGUGAAAUCCCGGAGCUUAACUCCAGAACUUCCUUUGAUACUAUCUAUCUUGAAUAUGGUGGAGGUAAGCGGAAUAUGUCAUGUAGCGGUGAAAUGCAUAGAUAUGACAUAGAACACCUA
rnacentral:rRNA from 1 species